rnacentral:misc_RNA from 1 species
GGCGAUUCGAGAACCGGUGAAACCGAGAGUACCACUGAGACUAUUGUUACGAGUAGCUUCGGUUGCCGGUGGAAUUCAAUUCGGUUGGGCGUUACAACUAUCGCUGCUCACACCUUAUGUGCAGGAGCUUGGAAUACCGCAUGCUUGGGCGAGCAUAAUAUGGCUCUGUGGACCGCUUUCAGGUUUAUUGGUUCAGCCUUUAGUAGGUCACAUGAGUGACAAGUGCACAAGUCGGUUCGGUCGUCGGCGUCCGUUUAUUGUCGCCGGAGCAGCAUCU